CCUACGGGGGGCAGCAGUGGGGAAUUUUGCACAAUGGGGGAAACCCUGAUGCAGCGACGCCGCGUGAGUGAGGAAGUCUUUCGGUGUGUAAAGCUCUGUCAGCGGGGACGAAACUGGACGUUACUCACUGAGAAAGCCCCGCCAACCACGUUGCAGCCGCCGCGGGUAUACGGAGGGGGCCAGCGUUAUCCGGAUUUCAUGGGUGUAAAGGGGGCGUAGGGGGAAUAUUUAGUCUGGUGUUAAAAGCGGGAGCUCAACUACCGUAGUGCAUUGGAUACUGGCGAGCUAGAGUGUCGGAGAGGUAAGGGGAAUUCCUAGUGUAGCGGUGAAAUGCGUAGAUAUUAGGAGGAACACCAGUGGCGAAGGCGGCUUACUGGACUGUGACUGACGUUGAGGCUCGAAGGCGUGGGGAGCAAACAGGAUUAGAUACCCGAGUAGUC
rnacentral:rRNA from 1 species